rnacentral:rRNA from 1 species
AGUGAACGCUGGCGGUAGGCCUAACACAUGCAAGUCGAACGGCAGCACAGUAAGAGCUUGCUCUUACGGGUGGCGAGUGGCGGACGGGUGAGGAAUACAUCGGAAUCUACUUUUUCGUGGGGGGUAACGUAGGGAAACUUACGCUAAUACCGCAUACGAUCUACGGGUGAAAGCAGGGGAUCUUCGGACCUUGCGCGAUUGAAUGAGCCGAUGUCGGAUUAGCUAGUUGGCGGGGUAAAGGCCCACCAAGGCGACGAUCCGUAGCUGGUCUGAGAGGAUGAUCAGCCACACUGGAACUGAGACACGGUCCAGACUCCUACGGGAGGCAGCAGUGGGGAAUAUUGGACAAUGGGCGCAAGCCUGAUCCAGCCAUACCGCGUGGGUGAAGAAGGCCUUCGGGUUGUAAAGCCCUUUUGUUGGGAAAGAAAAGCAGCAGGUUAAUACCCCGCUGUUCUGACGGUACCCAAAGAAUAAGCACCGGCUAACUUCGUG